rnacentral:misc_RNA from 1 species
UUCAAAAUUCAGUGAAAAGAACAUUCCCGAAUCAGGUCAAGAUUGUGCCAUCCUUAAUUGAUCAUAAAUUUGUGGGUUCCUUUGAGUUGGUCUAAAAUAAUCAUUCUUUUAUUGGCUGGGGAUAACUUUCAUGCGUUUGAUACUCAUGAAACAUGAACUUACUGAAAUAAGAUUAUGUUGUCACCUGUAGUUUUUAAGGGCUCAGUCUGUAUGUAGUCCUGGAUUUGGGUGUGUUCGUUAUUGAAGACAUUUCCAUUGUGGGAUAGCUGCAAGUCCCAUGGUGACUUAGUUGUGGCAAUUGAUGUUUCUUGGGUUUGUUUGCUAGAUAUUGGAGUACAAAUUUCCUGUUCUUGCUUUUUUGACUGAAUUUACUAGUGAACUGCAUUAGCCAUGUUGGACAUUUUUAUUAUUUUUGCUAAUGAAACUGAGGUUUCAGAUGAAGGGUAAUUCUUGAUGGCCAUUGUGACCACUGGACUGGAUUUUAUUCGUGUAUUUUUUUAAGUUUGUUUCUUGCUUUUGAAGUCGUGGAUUCUUAUUUUGAUUAAAAUUGCAGAUGCCAUCCCUUAUACUUCGAACCAGGAAACAAAUGCGCCUUCACUUGUUGGAAGUGAAACCCCUGGUUUUCCCAUGCUACCUGAAAAUGACCAGUCAAAUAUUGAAGUUUCAUCUGUGUAUAUUCCUCCAGA